GAUCAUUCAUCAGAAUCCCUUUCAAAAACUUAAGAUUUCAGUUUUUGGUUGCUUGCAUGUUAUUUCUUAAACAUUUACUGAUAAGUUGCAUUCCCUUACAGAUUAAAGUAAUGACUUAAAUUUGCUUUACUUUGAUAUGAUCAGAUUUUUACCUUAUUAAAUACAAAUAUUUUCGUCUCACAAAGACUGUAUUUUCAUCUUUGUAUUUGUAUUCAAAUUUGUAUUCUAGGGUUAUAAUGCUAUUGGGGAGCACCAGUAUAUUCUUGGUUUUAGUCUGAAUAAAAAAAGACCAAAAUAGUAUGUAAUCAUUGAGUCUUGGCAUUUGAGGGUGGUGGCAAUAAAGCGUUGGUUUAAAAUGUCAUCUGUCUUCUUUUCUUUUGUAGGACUAAGACAGGAACUUCCUUUAGAUCAAGGCUGAAGCUUGGGAAUAGGGUUAAAACUCAAGCAUCCUUUUCUGUUUCAUAACAUUAUCUUACACUUCUGUUUCUAGAGUUUCACUUUUAUUUAUUUAUUUUUUAGUGUAUUGGGCAAAAAGGGAGCAUUUAUAAUUAUAACUUUUGUUAUGUUCAUGUAACUCAUAAAGUUAUGUUUGCUUAUUUUCAGUUUCUUUCCAGGAUGCGAUCUUCAGAGAAGCACAGGAUGGCUUUAGGUGUACCUCAUCACCACUAGGAAGAUAGCUGUGCCUGCCUUUGCUGUAAAUGCGUCCCUGUUUAUGACUGGAGCAUGGGUAGAACUCUGAACAUUUGCUAUCCAGGGGACAGGCUGAACAAUUAUGAGGCUCUGAUUAAUAUCAUUGAUGCUUUAAUGGCCCAUUUUAUAUCCUGAACACUGGGGGGAAAUACAUUCUCUUCUGUAAGGACUGUGGUUCUUAUGAUUCACUUAGCAUAGAUAGCAAAGAGCAUGAACGAUCUCUUGUCUCACAAGAAGAAAUGGGUGACCGUAUAAUGCCAGCUGCAUAUAUUACUGAACUGUUACAGAGGAGAGGAAAUUGCCCAGUCGGAAUAGAUAUGUCUCUGUAGCCUUGUGUCCGCAUUCUAAUAGCCACAGAGUUUAUCUUAGUCUGAAUGGAGCUCUAAGUUAUUAAUUGUUUUAAUGAUUUCAUUGAUUUCUGUUAAUCUAGGUAAUGUGCCUUACUAAAUUCGGUAGUUUAUUUUGCUUUUCAAUUAACCUUUUACUUUUGUUAUAUCAUUUUUUAUUAAAAACAAAGGUUUUAUCUGCAUUUUAAUGAUACGCCUAUCUUAGCGUAUUAUGAAUUAUAUUUGGCUAUCUGUACUGCAAUUUUCAUGAAUAUUUCAGAGUAAUGGCAGACCAUAAUGGCUCAGUAUUUUAUUACAGGUUAUCACUGAUACAAAACACUCUUAAAAGUCAUUUGAAUAAAUGCUAGAAUCCCUUAUCUAUAAGCGAAAUAUUUUUUAAAGAAAGUUUUGUAUUUCUUAAGAAUACAACCAUAGAAGAAAUGCGAUACUUUGGCUUUCAAUUUUCAAAUUUAAGAAUGAUCCCAUUAUUUCAGCUUAAAUAAAAACUAUUUUAAUUUUGUUCAAUUAAGAGAUACAAAAAUAUGUUAUAAACUCUUUAAAAAUUUAAAACAGUGUUUCAAAGAGUAUAUUCCAAAAGAAAGGAUGCAGUAUGUGCACCUUGACUGUGUUCAUAAAGUACUUCACUGAUUUACAUAGAUUAUUUGAUAUUCAAAUACUAUCUGCCUAAUUAAAGUCUUCAUUUGUUUUGGCAGUUGUAAAGUUUUCUGUGUGUUCAUAAAAACAUCAGUGAAAUGGCCAUGCUUCACCUCAUUAGUGAAAGGAUGCUGAAGUCUGUUCUCUACUCUUCAUUUCUGGGGAGUCACAUUCACACAUAACUUUUGUACCAAUUAAAAACUGUUAAUGGCAAAACAUUGUAAUUGAUUAGUCUUUGUAUGUUUACAGCUCACUUUAAUUGCUGAAAAACGCUAUUUGUCAGUUUCAUGUUCUAUUGACAAUGCUAUUGAUUUAUCUGAAUUUGGCUUUGUCUUGUCUCUCGUACAUAAAACUCACAUAUGCAGUUCAAAUGGGAAAUGACUGUAUUGAUUUCCUUAACUUGAGCCCAAAUGCUAAAGAUUUUUGGAUAAGCUUUCUCAUUACUUAAGCCAAAAUCAAUAAGAAAGAGCGUCUUUUAAUGAAAGAGCAGUUUGAGCAACGUACUUCAGAAAUAGGGUCCUGUUCAUUCUUUGCUUUACACAUCGAUCUCCCAGGUUCCUUAAGUGAGGUCCAAUUGGUUGACAUUGUGGUUUGUCUUUGUGUGUAAACUUGCAGCUUCAGAGAAGAGAAGAUGAGCUACAGAGACAGUGGAAAGAAACUCUCUCGCUGAGAAAGAAGAUAGUCCACCAGCAGGAACACAGGCAUUGAAAGUGAGCUACAGAAAUAAAGUGCCCAUUCUGAGGAACAACGGAAUGAACCGAAUGCAUAAAACAAGUUAUAUGGACAGGCCAAACGUCAGGUCCUCCUCUGAGAAUGGAGUUAAUAAUGGAACUUGGUCUUAGGAUGCCUGAGGUUGCAUAUAUAUCAGACACACAAAAGAUACAAAAUUCAAUCUGUGCUUGAAGGGAGCUUCUCAUGGGAGAUGGAAGAAGAGCAAGAUUUGGCCACAAGAUAUAUCUGUGCGAGAUUUGGAAGGUGAAAAUAAAGCCGUAAUUGUGUUCACUCUGGGAAACUUGAUCAAGUCUGGCUCUUCUGCAGCUCAUCAAAGUUUCUACAGGUUUGUUGACUCACGUCGUUGGCGUGGGCAGCAGUCCAGCCCAGGUCUCCAGCUCCUGCUGGAAAUCUGCUGUCAACAUCUCAGUUCUGAGCCAAGUACAAGUUUGAUUACUUGGUAGAGUGAUAGCUUCUUCUACAAGUCAACCAUGGCAGUGAGACUGGAGGCUUGGAGAUGAGAAGAGGCCAAUAUGGGCUCCCAUGAGAUAUAGACACAGGUCUCAGUUGUCAUUGCUCUUCUCUACUUGUCCAUCUUUCAAACCUCACCACCUGUCCUGUGCCUUUAGGCUCGGGGGUAGGUGGAGAUGAAACAGCAGACCAAGACUAUCUUACCAGCUACCAAAAAUGUAUAAAUUUGAAGCCCUAUAGUAAAUCUCUUAUCCUGCAUCAUCUCUAGUAGUUUUAUUUCUCUAAUUUAAUUCUGACACUAUCUCCUUUCCAAUAUACGGCCUCUCAUUUCUCAACAAUGGUAAGUGCUUAGGAAAUAAAUGUUCGUGCUUUGAAGGCAAAUUGUCAGAAGAAAAUUUUAAAAAUUGGAAUAAAAUAUAUCAGAUUGAGACGUUAUAUUUUAUAAGAAGUAUAUUUCAAACUUUAUCACUUUUUUUUUAAAGAUUUUAUUUUUUCCUUUUUCUCCCCAAAG